rnacentral:lncRNA from 1 species
AAGGAAACUAGCUCGGACCGUGCAGGUUUGUAGGUCUGUUGGCCUGUAGGUUUCGGCACAAGUUUCAGCGAGAGAAGGAGAAAACUGCCUUGGUUGGAACCUUGCAGGUCAGUAUUCAUCACAAGAGAGCUACAAGAGCCUGGAAGAAGCUGAAGACUGCUACCCUCCAUCCUUACUCACCCUGGACCUGAGAGACCUCUUCAAUCAGAAAUGGAAACAGAGAGAUUCUCCUGGAAACCCCUGCCCCAUAAACGGCCCUCUCGAACACAAUGGGACGGAAUCCACCCACAACGCGCUUGGUUUGCAGAUGUCAAAGAAUCUGCAGAGGGUGCUACUGAAGAUCCAGCCUUAGCCAAUCACCACCUCAUUGGGUGAAAGUUCCAGGGCUCAAUCCAGGACCACACUCUUAUUGGCCAGGCAGGGGCUCCCACAGAGCUUUGAGUAACUUCUUGGUUGUGCAGUCUGCAGGCAAUGUUGGCAUUGUAAAUUCCUCCCUUGCAGCCUCCUUCAUGUGGUGAGGGGAUCACUUCAGCUGCCUGCUGUGGACAAAGAACAUCAAAUUACAGCAUCACGAGUGCUAUUGUUGCCUGUGGUGGUCUCCCUGUCCAAGCGGGACCGCUUUGCAGAGACCAGAGGCAUAUCGCGGCUUGAGCUGAAAAUGCAUUUGUUGCAGCUUAGGUUGAAUUAUUUUUCGUUUGCUCUUUCUUCUACACGCGCCUGAUGGAUAGUGAACCUAUUCAUCAAAAAAGUGCACUGCUCUUCUGUCUAUUGUACCGACUUAACCUCUUCCACCCAAGUCCGCAUCUGUGUGUAUCAUCAAUAAAGUUGUGUGCUUUGAUUG